GACAGAGGAUGCAAGCGUUAUCCGGAAUGAUUGGGCGUAAAGCGUCUGUAGGUGGCUUUUUAAGUCCGCCGUCAAAUCCCAGGGCUCAACCCUGGACAGGCGGUGGAAACUACCAAGCUGGAGUACGGUAGGGGCAGAGGGAAUUUCCGGUGGAGCGGUGAAAUGCGUAGAGAUCGGAAAGAACACCAACGGCGAAGGCAGCGCCCUGGACGAGACCUGACGCUCAGGCACGAAAGCUGGGGGAGCAAACAGG
rnacentral:rRNA from 1 species